CUCGAAGGUAACGAUGCGCGCGGCCGUCACGGACCGGACCGCGAGGUCAAUCACCGCCCGCGGGUCGAGCGGUGUACCCCCGAGGGCGUCGGCGAUCUGUGCCUCGAACCGCCGUGGCCAGUGCGUGUUUUCCAUCUGUCCCGUGCGCCACAGGAGAAAGAGCGCCCCCUCGGCGGUCAUGGGUCCAUUGGAGUGACGCCAGUCGGCGAGCACGUUCCUGGCCAAUUUGGGGUCGUGGCCCAUGUAGGCGGCGAUCGUGCGCACCCCAUGCCCGUAGCCGCGCUCAAAGCCGCGCGGUUGCCAUCGCGCGCGCACGCUCUCAAAGCGUAGCGCAUAGCGUUGCUCCAACAUCUCCAGGACCUCCUCGCGGCGCGAAUGAUCAUCGUCAUUGUCGGGUCGACCGUCGGCGUCGAGAGGUGUGUCGACGGCCUCAUCAGGGAUGACGGCCAAUAGAUGACGGUCGAGGUAGGAUGCGACAUCGUCGGGUUCGCACAGGCGCACGACCGCAACCGUCAGGGCUUCAAAGGGGAUCAUUGCCGCCAAAGGCACGUCGUGCGCUCUCGGGCGCGAGAUGGCAUAGGCGACAAGAUGCUCUCUGCCACUGCCGACCAAGGCGGCCCCGGCCUCGGUGAGGGUCGCACCCAUGGCCAAACACCAGGCCUCGGCGGCCUCGGGGGUGCCCACAAGGGGAUCGUCGUCGGCGGCGCGGGCCAGGAGCGAGGCCACACACGACACCCGCACCGUUUUCGAUCUCGGACACAAUGAUGCACACACCGAGGCCCAUAAACGGCAAGUGGCACGUGCGCAAAAGUGCCAGCGCGGUUCGAGGGCCUCCCCAAGAAUUAGCGCGAGCGCGUCCAGAGGCAGGUCGUCGGCCGUCAUCACCGGCGGCAGCCUCAUACAUGCGCCUUUCGGAGCGUCACCGUGCAGGUCGACGGCACAUGGCAGGUUGGCGUCUUGCAUCGCACGUAUUCCCGACCGUUGCUCUCUCGCCACUUUUUGGUCCCUGGUCGUUGUGUCUUUUUGUUUCUUUUUUUUGUAAUAAUUUUUUUUUCGAUGAUAUGGUUGGUUGGUGGACGACGGAAGCCAAUCAUGUUCCGCUCUGGCGACGGGAGGGACACUCGGCGUGCUCGCAAAAAAAACUGUGCCGACGACCCGAUCCGACUAGAGGUAGAGAAAAGAGGUGUCGAGAGGCCGACCAAAUUGGCUCCUCUUUUUUCCUUGGUCUGAAAAAAACAUUGUUUGCAGCC
rnacentral:lncRNA from 1 species